rnacentral:lncRNA from 1 species
ACACACGCGCCCAAGGGCGUCCGCAGAACUUUUUGCAGGGAGGUGCGUGCAUCCGAAGGGGGGGGGGGGGUCAUCCAGCAGUGACAGCCUUUCUUUCACUGCCGCGACAUGACAGGCAGAUUGGUCGAUAGUUUGUAACGCGCGAAAUUGAAUGGCGAUCCUGAAGGCCAGGACCUGAGUGUGCUUAUUGCUAUGGCAUAGAAAAAUAUUAUCC